rnacentral:rRNA from 1 species
UACGUAGGGUGCGAGCGUUGUCCGGAAUUAUUGGGCGUAAAGAGCUCGUAGGCGGUCUGUCGCGUCUGCUGUGAAAACUCAGGGCUUAACCCUGAGCUUGCAGUGGGUACGGGCAGACUAGAGUGCGGUAGGGGGAGACUGGAAUUCCUGGUGUAGCGGUGAAAUGCGCAGAUAUCAGGAGGAACACCGGUGGGCGAAGGCGGGGUCUCUGG